AACGAACGCUGGCGGCAUGCCUAACACAUGCAAGUCGAACGAGACCCCUGACUUCGGUUGGCGGGUCUAGUGGCGCACGGGUGCGUAACGCGUGGGAAUCUGCCCCUCGGUUCGGAAUAACACAGAGAAAUUUGUGCUAAUACCGGAUGAUGACUUCGGUCCAAAGAUUUAUCGCCGAGGGAUGAGCCCGCGUAAGAUUAGCUUGUUGGUGGGGUAAUGGCCUACCAAGGCGACGAUCUUUAGCUGGUCUGAGAGGAUGAUCAGCCACACUGGGACUGAGACACGGCCCAGACUCCUACGGGAGGCAGCAGUGGGGAAUAUUGGACAAUGGGCGAGAGCCUGAUCCAGCCAUGCCGCGUGCAGGAAGACGGCCCUAUGGGUUGUAAACUGCUUUUGUACGGGAAGAAACACCCCCACGUGAGGGGGCGUUGACGGUACCGUAAGAAUAAGGAUCGGCUAACUCCGUGCCAGCAGCCGCGGUAAAGU
rnacentral:rRNA from 1 species